rnacentral:rRNA from 1 species
CAAAAACAUAGCCUUUAGCAGCCAAGUAUAAAGGUGUGCCUGCCCAGUGAAAUUUUAACGGCCGCGGUAUCCUAACCGUGCAAAGGUAGCGUAAUCACUUGUCUUAUAAAUAAAGACCAGUAUGAAUGGCUAAAUGAGUAUUAGACUGUCUCCUAAGACUAAUCAGUGAAACUGAUCUUCCAGUACAAAAGCUGGAAUAAAAUCAUAAGACGAGAAGACCCUGUGGAGCUUUAAACUUUCACCAAGGUGUUUAUGCAAAACACACCCCAUGGAAAAAACUUUUAAGUUGGGGCGACUUUGGAACAAAACACAACCUCCAAGAAAUGGCACCGCCAAAAAAGGCCUACAAGCCAAAACUGCGACCCAGUACCACUGAGCAACGAACCAAGUUACCCCAGGGAUAACAGCGCCAUCUUCUUCAGAGUUCAUAUCGACAAGAAGGUUACGACUCGAUGUUGGAUUAGGACACCUAUGGUGCAGCGCUAUUAAGGKUCGUUGUUCACGAUUAAUGUC